CCAGACUCCUACGGGAGGCAGCAGUGAGGAAUAUUGGUCAAUGGGCGCGAGCCUGAACCAGCCAAGUCGCGUGAGGGAAGACGGUCCUAUGGAUUGUAAACCUCUUUUGUCGGGGAGCAAAAGACGCCACGCGUGGCGUUCCGAGAGUACCCGAAGAAAAAGCAUCGGCUAACUCCGUGCCAGCAGCCGCGGUAAUACGGAGGAUGCGAGCGUUAUCCGGAUUUAUUGGGUUUAAAGGGUGCGCAGGCGGAGGUGCAAGUCAGGGGUCAAAUUGGGGGGCGAAACCUCGUCGAGCCGUUGAAACUGGGUGCCUUGAGUGGGCGAGAAGUACGCGGAAUGCGUGGUGUAGCGGUGAAAUGCAUAGAUAUCACGCAGAACUCCGAUUGCGAAGGCAGCGUACCGGCGCCCAACUGACGCUGAAGCACGAAGGCGUGGGUAUCGAACAGGAUUAGAUACCCCCGUAUAA
rnacentral:rRNA from 1 species